rnacentral:rRNA from 1 species
UACGUAGGGGGCGAGCGUUGUCCGGAGUUACUGGGCGUAAAGCGCUUGUAGGCGGUCCACCAAGUUUGGGGUGACAGUUGCCGACUUAAUCGGCAAAGUGCCUCAAAGACUGGCGGACUUGAGGGCCACAGAGGGACAUGGAACUCCAGGUGUAGUGGUGAAAUGCGUAGAUAUCUGGAGGAACACCUGUGGUGUAGACAGCUUACUGGACCACUUCUGACGCUGAGACACGAAAGCGUGGGUAGCAAACAGG